AGUGAACGCUGGCGGUAGGCCUAACACAUGCAAGUCGAACGGCAGCACAGUAAGAGCUUGCUCUUACGGGUGGCGAGUGGCGGACGGGUGAGGAAUACAUCGGAAUCUACUUUUUCGUGGGGGAUAACGUAGGGAAACUUACGCUAAUACCGCAUACGACCUACGGGUGAAAGUAGGGGAUCUUCGGACCUUGCGCGAUUGAAUGAGCCGAUGUCGGAUUAGCUAGUUGGCGGGGUAAAGGCCCACCAAGGCGACGAUCCGUAGCUGGUCUGAGAGGAUGAUCAGCCACACUGGAACUGAGACACGGUCCAGACUCCUACGGGAGGCAGCAGUGGGGAAUAUUGGACAAUGGGCGCAAGCCUGAUCCAGCCAUACCGCGUGGGUGAAGAUGGCCUUCGGGUUGUAAAGCCCUUUUGUUGGGAAAGAAAAGCAGCAGGUUAAUACCCCGCUGUUCUGACGGUACCCAAAGAAUAAGCACCGGCUAACUUCGUG
rnacentral:rRNA from 1 species